CUGCCUGUGAAGCCUAUGGUCCUGGGUUCGAAUCCCAGUAAGGGCAUUUAUUUGUGUGAUGAACACAGAUAUUUGUUCCCGAGUCAUGGGUGUUUUCUAUGUAUAUAAGUAUGUAUUUAUCUAUAUAAGUAUGUACAUAAUUAUAUCGUCACCUAGCACCCAUAAUAGUACAAGCUUUGCUUUGGGGCUAGGUUGAUCUGUGUAAGAUGUCCCCUAAUAUUUAUUUAUUUAUAUCGACAAAGGUAACUAUUAACUAGUUACAGAAUGUUGUUUCUGUAGCGAUUUACCUGAACUUUAUCUUGCUUUCAGAGGAGGGAGUGACACUUGAUUUUUUGCUGCAAGCAAAUGAUGAGGAGUUGUCUGAACUGACAACAAAAGUUGCAGACAAAAUAAGACUGAGAUCUUCAUUAGAGAAAAUUAGCCAAAAAAACGCCCCUUUUAUGAAUGACCCCGGACUGUUCUCUCCAAGGUCCAGCGCAUGCAGCAGCCCAGUGCCAGUAGCUUUGCCUGAAAGGCAAAGUAUAUUAAUUCUAGGACCAAAUGGAACUCUUGAGGGUACUCCAUUAGAGAUCAGACCAAGUGUACAGCCCACUAUACAACAGAUCACACCUGUGCAACCACCUACGAUACCGGCCACACCUGUGCAGCCUCCACAGCCUCCACAGGCGUUGCAAGAUUAUAAUAGGGAAGGAUACUUCGAA